rnacentral:rRNA from 1 species
AACCUCCGCAAUGUGAGAAAUCGCGACGGGGGGAUCCCAAGUGCCAUUCUUAACGGGAUGGCUUUUCAUUAGUGUAAAGAGCUUUUGGAAUAAGGGCUGGGCAAGACCGGUGCCAGCCGCCGCGGUAACACCGGCAGCUCUAGUGGUAGCAGUUUUUAUUGGGCCUAAAGCGUCCGUAGCCGGUUUAAUAAGUCUCUGGUGAAAUCCUGUAGCUUAACUGUGGGAAUUGCUGGAGAUACUAUUAGACUUGAGACCGGGAGAGGUUAGAGGUACUCCCAGGGUAGAGGUGAAAUUCUGUAAUCCUGGGAGGACCGCCUGUUGCGAAGGCGUCUAACUGGAACGGUUCUGACGGUGAGGGACGAAAGUUAGGGGCGCGAACCGGAUUAGAUACCCGGGUAGUCCUAACCGUAAACGAUGCGGACUUGGUGUUGGGGUGGCUUUGAGCUGCUCCAGUGCCGAAGGGAAGCUGUUAAGCCCGCCGCCUGGGAAGUACGGUCGCAAGACUGAAACUUAAAGGAAGU